GCACAAUGGGCGGAAGCCUGAUGCAGCGACGCCGCGUGGGGGAUGACGGCCUUCGGGUUGUAAACUCCUUUCGACAGGGACGAAGCUUUUUGUGACGGUACCUGUAUAAGAAGCACCGGCUAACUACGUGCCAGCAGCCGCGGUAAUACGUAGGGUGCGAGCGUUGUCCGGAAUUACUGGGCGUAAAGAGCUCGUAGGUGGUUUGUCGCGUCGUCUGUGAAAUUCCGGGGCUUAACUUCGGGCGUGCAGGCGAUACGGGCAUAACUUGAGUGCUGUAGGGGAGACUGGAAUUCCUGGUGUAGCGGUGAAAUGCGCAGAUAUCAGGAGGAACACCGAUGGCGAAGGCAGGUCUCUGGGCAGUUACUGACGCUGAGGAGCGAAAGCAUGGGUAGCAAACAGGAUUAGAUACCCUGGUAGUCCAUGCCGUAAACGGUGGGCGCUAGGUGUAGGGGGCUUCCACGUCUUCUGUGCCGUAGCUAACGCAUUAAGCGCCCCGCCUGGGGAGUACGGCCGCAAGGCUAAAACU
rnacentral:rRNA from 1 species